GUGCCAGCCGCCGCGGUAAUACGGAGGGGGCGAGCGUUAUUCGGAAUUAUUGGGCGUAAAGGGCGCGUAGGCGGCCUGGUAAGUCAAAGGUGAAAUCCCUCGGCUCAACUGAGGAAUUGCCUUUGAAACUGCCGGGCUCGAGGCCGGGAGGGGGUAGUGGAAUUCCCAGUGUAGCGGUGAAAUGCGUAGAUACUGGGAGGAACACCAGUGGCGAAGGCGGCUACCUGGACCGGUUCUGACGCUGAUGCGCGAAAGCGUGGGGAGCAAACAGGAUUAGAAACCCCUGUAGUCC
rnacentral:rRNA from 1 species